CGAUUAUGUUUAAAAUUUAUAUGACCAACUUAUAAUCUAUUUUUUAAGAAAUAAAUUAAUAUUGUAUGACUAAUUAAAAUGAAAAGAGAAAGAGAAAAAAGGAAAAGUUGUAUAGUAAAAUUCAUUUUACUCAGACCCCAAUCUUCUUCUUUUACGGGACAAGGAUGAGAGGAGCAAGCUUCACCCUCUUCUUUUACGGGACGAGGACGAGAAAAGCAAUCCCUAACCUCAUCCUGCUCCGUUGUCAUUUCUUUCAAUACAUGCUCCACAACAGCAUCUGUUUCCCUGAAUUUACUGGAGAAAGCAUCUCGAAUGCCUUCUGGUACCAUAUCGUUCCACCAGCUUCCACUCCCUUUAAUUUGUCUUAAUUUUUUUGCGCUGUUGCAAUCCAAUGGAAGGCUUCGUAGGUUCGGGCAAUCAAAUACAGCUAGCUUCACAAGGGAAGGAAAUUGUAGGGCUUGGCAGCAGAUGGACUUGAGCUUUGGUAAGCGUUUCAAAGAUAAUUUCACCAGAUUUUCGAAGACAUUUUGCCUAGAAUCUUCACUUAUUACUUGAACAAUUUCAUUGCAGUCACAUAAUUUCAAAGAUUGAAGGCUCGGGAUAUUUAUGAGGCACGUCACGUUCUUUAUUGGACAGUUGCGGAUCCUCACAAUACAGAGGUUGGGAAAAGAUUGCUGCCUUUUCCUAUAGAUGUGGCCAGGGAAAACUGUGAUCUCAGAACCCUGAUGCUCUUGCUGAUUAUUUUCUUUGAAAAUUUCAAGCUCUGUCAGGGACGAGCACUUCAAUAAUUCAAGCCUCUCCAAAUGCUCCAUUCCUCUUAGAGAGAGUUUUGGUAGACGAUCUGUGCACUGUGCUAGUUGCAGCUGUUUUACGCAUCUUCGCAACUUGUGGGUGUCCAAUACUUUUUGCACGGAACUAGCAUGUGAUAAAAAUAUGCCAAUCUCAUCUAUGUGUUCCAAGGAUUCCAACUCCUUUAGAAGCUCUGCUUGAUCAUCUAGUGGAGAAUUAAGAAGCAACAUCUGAUCAAAUACCCUCCUAAAAGCCUGCAAUGAUGAAAGACUAGAGAUCACGCCCACUGGUAUAUCUAGCUGGAGCGGUGUCCUAUCCAAUAUAAAAAACUGCAACUUCUUCAAAUUUUGAACCUCCACUGGCAAUUUUUUUAUGCAAGUCCCUGACAAAUUUAGAUACCUCAAGUUCCCCAAAUAUCCAAUGCCCACAUGUAGCUCAAUUAAGCCUUUAUUAUCUGACAAGUCCAAAACUCUCAAAGCAGGCAUAGAUUGAAAGAAUUCACUUGGCAGCAUCUCCAAAUUAGUAGCCCUGAGAAGCAAUGUUGUAAGAUGAUGACAAGAAGGUGUCUCACGGGGAGAUUCGAUGCAAGGACCACACAACGAUAUCCUCUCUGCGCUAAUCCAUGUUGAAAGCUGUGGUGUUUUUUCCUGUACCAACACUUUGUCCUUUGCCUUCCCCUCCUCACAAGCUAGCCACAAGGUCAUUGCUUUAAUCACAUCAUGCAUUUUAACAAAAUCUUCUGAUUUACCAG
rnacentral:misc_RNA from 1 species